rnacentral:rRNA from 1 species
ACUCCUACGGGAGGCAGCAGUAGGGAAUCUUCCACAAUGGACGAAAGUCUGAUGGAGCAACGCCGCGUGAACGAUGAAGGCCUCGGUCGUAAGUUACUGUUGUAAGGAAGAACAAGUGCCGCAGGCAAUGGCGGCACCUUGACGGUACCUUGCGAGAAAGCCACGGCUAACUACGUGCCAGCAGCCGCGGUAAUACGUAGGUGGCAAGCGUUGUCCGGAAUUAUUGGGCGUAAAGCGCGCGCAGGCGGCCUCUUAAGUCUGAUGUGAAAGCCCCGGCUCAACCGGGGGAGGGCCAUUGGAAACUGGGAGGCUUGAGUAUAGGAGAGAAGAGUGGAAUUCCACGUGUAGCGGUGAAAUGCGUAGAGAUGUGGAGGAACACCAGUGGCGAAGGCGACUCUUUGGCCUAUAACUGACGCUGAGGCGCGAAAGCGUGGGGAGCAAACA